rnacentral:rRNA from 1 species
CAGUCGCCGCGGGAAUACGUAGGUGGCAAGCGUUGUCCGGAAUUAUUGGGCGUAAAGCGAGCGCAGGCGGUUAGAUAAGUCUGAAGUUAAAGGCUGUGGCUUAACCAUAGUACGCUUUGGAAACUGUUUAACUUGAGUGCAGAAGGGGAGAGUGGAAUUCCAUGUGUAGCGGUGAAAUGCGUAGAUAUAUGGAGGAACACCGGUGGCGAAAGCGGCUCUCUGGUCUGUAACUGACGCUGAGGCUCGAAAGCGUGGGGAGCAAACAGGAUUAGAUACCCCCGUAGUCCCUGUCUCUUAUACA